rnacentral:lncRNA from 1 species
CCUGGCCCCGCGCCGCCAGUGCUCCCCGCGGCCCGGUGCGAGGGGCGUUGUGAGGAGCCAGGUGUGGAGCACCGGCUGUAAUUAUUUUCUUAACAUUUUCGUGACUCCCGGGACCGGCAGUUGCUGCCGUUAAUGAUCCGCCAGGUUGCAGGCCCGAGGCAAAGCCCUGGGUCCUCAGCAGCUUUUGCUGGUCGUUUACCACCCAAACCCAUGCACUGUGAUGGUCAUUACUGCCCAGGCCCUUUCCUAGAAGAAGGCAUACAAGCAGACAGAACAAAAAGCUAUACAAAAUAUAGCCUUUCUGUAUAUUCCUGUACUUGGACACUCGUGCACGUGCUGGUGUGAAUUUAGAGAAGGUUUUCUACUCUGUGCAGGGCUGUACCUUUGAAACUCACCUCCUGUAAUUCACAAUCAGCCCACUAUCACUGCAAGCCUGAGCUGAGAUGGGCUGCGGCUUCCCUACCUGCUCCUCCUAGCGAAGAUUUGCCAUCAGUGCUGACAAGACAGUGGCAGCCUCACUAGCUGUAAGUGACAUCUCUCCUUGCUGACAAAAUAUCCCAUCAGCCCGUAUUAGUCUGGAGAGCGUGUCUCUCCCAAAAAGCCCUCGUAGGCACGAGUCACAAUGUGAAAGCCCUACCAUCAGGGCAACAGUCAAAUUUUAUUCUCAGGCUGGCCUCACAUGUUAACUUAUCACCAAACUAAACUCUGCUGAAAGGCUGGAGCUUGUAUUCACAUAGGGUGGAAAUUGGUUCCACUGGGAGAGCUUCAAAGUCAUUUCAGCCAUUAAACUGUGGCUGGAUGUAUCAUAAGUACAGGAGAGGUCGAGGCACUGCCUGUGAACCACGGGGACUUGGUAAAGAAGUUCCUGGGAAAUUGGCAGAGCUAUUGUGUAUUCUGUUUCAGUCUGGCUCUGCAGCGGGAGCGAGUCGCGUCUGUACAUGAGACUCAUUAUGCUUCCUCUGUUUAACAUACCAAUUACUUUCUGUAUUUACCAUGUUUAGAGCGACUUCAUGUCAAAAAUUAAUAACGCUAAAAUAAAGAGCAGCACUGGUGUGUGCUAAAGGGGAAGGAAAGCAGGCUAAUAGAAUGUGUGAUAGAGAAGGAAGGUGAAUUUGCAGCUGCAGGGAUCGCAUCCAGAUGAAUUUCACGGUGUGCAAUGGCAGGGGUCCCACUGAGGCCCCCGUGCUCUUUAAGGCACACUUCAGGCAGAGAUAAGUGUAUCUUGAGAGGUGCAGCGCCUAAGUAAUUUCACCC